GACGAACGCUGGCGGCGUGCUUAACACAUGCAAGUCGAACGAAGUGGCGAACGGGUGAGUAACGCGUAAUCAACCUGCCCUUCAGAGGGGGACAACAGUUGGAAACGACUGCUAAUACCGCAUACUGAAGGAGGUGAUUGCGUGUGAUUAGCUAGUUGGCGGGGUAACGGCCCACCAAGGCGAGGAUCAGUAGCCGGGCUGAGAGGAGGAACGGCCAAAUUGGGACUGAGACACGGCCAAGACUCCGACGGGAGGCAGCAGGUGGGAAUCUUCCGCAAUGGACGAAAGUCUGACGGAGCAACGCCGCGUGAGGGAUGACGGCCUUCGGGGUGUAAAGCUCUGUUAAUCGGGACGCGGUACCGGAAUAGAAAGCCACGGCUAACUACGUGCCAGCAGCCGCGGUAAUAC
rnacentral:rRNA from 1 species